UGAUAUUAAACUAAAGUUAACUCAAAAAUUCAUGCGGAUUCUUAAUUUGAUUUUAAUAGUCAUUCAAUGUCAAAUAAAGUUAUUUGUAAUUUUCAUUAUACUUAGGAGUAACCACAGUAUCCUAUAGAUAAUGAAAAAUAUAUAUAAGGUACUGACAAUGAAUUAAAGCUUGACUAUUUGUUGCAGUCAAAUAAAUAAUAAAAUUCUAAAUUUUGAUGAAGCCGAAAUAUAUGUGGCAGAGAUGGUAAAAAACCGCUAGUCAUAUAAAUGUACCCUGUUAAAGCC
rnacentral:lncRNA from 1 species